GACAGAGGGUGCAAACGUUGCUCGGAAUUACUGGGCGUAAAGCGCGUGUAGGUGGUCACGCAAGUCAGGUGUGAAAGCCCAGGGCUCAACCCUGGAAGUGCACAUGAUACUACGUGGCUGGAGUACUGAAGAGGAGAGCGGAAUUCCCGGUGUAGAGGUGAAAUUCGUAGAUAUCGGGAGGAACACCAGUGGCGAAGGCGGCUCUCUGGGCAGAUACUGACACUGAGACGCGGAAGCGUGGGUAGCAAACAGG
rnacentral:rRNA from 1 species